UACAGAGACUGCAAGCGUUAUUCGGAUUCACUGGGCGUAAAGGGUGCGCAGGCGGCCAAGUGUGUCAGAUGUGAAAUCCCGAGGCUCAACCUCGGAACUGCGUCUGAAACUACUUGGCUAGAGUAUUGGAGAGGGUAACGGAAUUCACGGUGUAGCAGUGAAAUGCGUAGAUAUCGUGAGGAACACCAGAGGCGAAGGCGGUUACCUGGACAAUUACUGACGCUCAGGCACGAAAGCAUGGGGAGCAAAAGGG
rnacentral:rRNA from 1 species